rnacentral:lncRNA from 1 species
UCUAGACACAAAUUAAAAUAAAUCAAGCUUUAUAUUACAAGCCAGGGGCCUCGAGGGCUCAAAUACAUCAGCUCGAAUACAAACGAGUCAGCGGAAGCAACAAUAUCUGAGUACAGACAUAAGUUAAACAAGUUUGCCUUAAAAAGGCUAGCACAAAAGCAACAUCGACCGAAAAGGCAAGGCUCAAAUACAUCAAGCUUUAUAUUACAAGCCAGGGGCCUCGAGGGCUCAAAUACAUCAGCUCGAAUACAAACGAGUCAGCGGAAGCAACAAUAUCUGAGUACAGACAUAAGUUAAACAAGUUUGCCUUAAAAAGGCUAGCACAAAAGCAACAUCGACCGAAAAGGCAAGGCCUCCUGCCUGGGAGCCUCCUAACUACUCCUGGUCAUCUGCGGUCUCCGUCACGUGGUAGUAGGCACCCUCGAGGUAGUAGCAGUCGUCAAAGGUGUCAUCUAGCUCCUGGACUCCGUCAUCUGGUUGCGUCAUCCAAGAAGAAUGGAAAAGGGGGAAAAGAGGGAGCAAAGCAACCGUGAGUACUCAUCCAAAGUACUCGCAAGCAAGAAUCUACACUACAGAUGCAACAUUAUCAAAGGAAGGCUGUAUAUGUGGACUGGACUACAGAAAUGCCAGAAUAGAGAGAAGGCCUAGUCCUAUCUAAGACUAGCAUCUUUUGGAAACCACCAUCUUGCAGCAAACAGGAGGGAGUAGAGUAGCAUAAAGUAAAGUAGUAGUAGUGUUAUCAACCUCGGCCAGAGAUCCUUUCUCGACUCCCUGCGAGAAAGAAAUCCCAGAGCCGUACUAUCCAAUUAUCAUCACAAUCCAAUUCUCAUCACCAUCCAAUUCUCAUCACAAGUAUCCAGUUCUAGUUGUAUCGAUCGGGAUACAACUCCGAGUGUCCGUUACCGUAGGACAGGCUAUCGAUAGAUGUUUUCUUCCCUACAGGGGUGCACCAACUUACCCACCACGCUUGAUUAACUCCGGCCGGACACACUUUCCUGGGUCAUGCCCGGCCUCGGCCAAACAAUACACCGCAACCCGACCUAGACCUAACAGAGAGGUCAGCACGCCGGACUAAACCUAUGCCCCCAGGGGUCAUGGGCCAUCUCCCCGGAAACUCCUGCAUGUUGCAUACGCGGCCGGUGAGCAGACCUAGCCUCCCUUAUACAAGAGAAGGCGUAACCAGUCCAACCCGGCGCGCGCCGCUCAGUCGCUGACAUCUAUUAAGCUUCGGCUGAUGCAUACGACGCAGAACGCCCAUACUAUGCCCACGUGAUGGUUAGUGCUAUCAGGCCAGAGGCCCCUCAGAUCAAAUAUCCAAAUCGUAGUGGAUUGGGAACGCGCGGUAACAAGCAGAGACUCACGAAAGAUGUGACCAUUGCCCCGUGUCGAGGACUUGCGGCAAGGGCUAAGAAUGCCCGGCCACGCCUUGUAAUUAUCUCACGGGCACCUUCCAGGUCAACCCGACUCCUCAUCACUCGCAAUUAUGCUCGCGCGGGUACCCCUUAGGGUCGACCCGUCUUUAGUAACAUGGUUCAGUGUCAAGUCAUAGUAACCAUAGUAACCGUGUGUCCAAACAUCAAGGGGAAAACCCGAGGAAUCACCCCCGGUGAAUUCCACUCAAUGUAAUCAUCAAGGUGAACGUAAGAGGAAUCACCCCUGAGGUUCACACUUGAGGGGUUGCACGACCGAGUCAUAUCGGAAGUGGUUAAGGUGGAAUCACCCUCGAUGAGCACGACCGAAUAGCUACACUACAGGGUUAACAUCAGAAGUGCUGUAGAGGUCUCACCCUCGGCACUCGAUAGUAACCCAGCAGUGUCGAGCAACUAAGGGGAAAGUGAUGUGCGGUGCCGGGGCCUGGUCUUCAAUCCCGUUGAUCGGGUCUUCAAUGAUGAAGCAGGGGCAACAAGGACAAGGUGGGGGUCACUGAUGGAUCACUAACCAACCUAUACUAAGCAAUUUAGGAUAAGCAGGUAAGGUACAAUAACAGAUACAAAAGCAGGCUAUGCAUCAGAAGAGGAGCAUACAAUAACAGUAGCAAAAUCUAAUGCAAGCAUGAGAGAAAGGAAUGGGCGAUAUCGGGAUGAUCAAAGGGGGGGCUUGCCUGGAAGCUCCGCUGAAAGGGAAGAAGGGUCGUCGUCGACGUAGUCGAUCACAGAGGUAGCAUCGGUCUCGGGGUCUACCGGAGAGAAGAGGGGGAAGAAACAAUGAAUAUAAAGCAAACAAAGCAUCAUAAAUCAUAACGUGGUAAUACGCGGUGUUAGAAGUGAACUAACGCAAUGCUAGACGUUGCCGACGGAAAGGGAAAACAUCCGAAGGGGUUUUUCCGACGUCUGAUGUUUUUCGGACAAAUGAAAAGAAGGGGACAGUUCCAUGUUAAGCAUGCUGGGGGCAUGUGACAGAUGAACGGACCGUGUAUCUGGAUUCGUUAGAUUUUUCUGAGCAACUUUCAUAUAUAAAACAUUUUCAUCCGAGUUACGGAUUAUUUUGUAUUAAUUUUCUAAGUUUUAAUAAUAUUCUAAAAUUUCUAGUUUUGCUUUAAUUCGAGUUAACCAAGUCAAUUUGACUGGUCAAAGGGGAGGUGGUGGCCCACAUGUCUUAGACCUAUAUAUAAUUUAAUAAAUAAAAACUAACUAUAUCAGUAUGGAGCCCAUGUGUCAUAGUGUAGCAACUAACCUAACUAGUACGAUUAGUCCCUAAUCUAAUCCAAACAGGCCGGCCAGAGGCAUAGCCAGCCCCACGGCUGUGCACAUACACGCACAACCCAUGGGGGCGCUCAUCCAUGGCCACGGCCACAUGCGAGGCUAGCGCCAGAGCAGCCAACAGCGGCAGCAACAUGCGAGAAGCAGCCGCAUCAGUAUUAAGCAGCGGCAACAACAUCUAUCACAGCACCUAACGGGAGUAGCAGCGGCAGCUGAGCAGCAAACAACCAAGCAGGCACGGGAGCUGGCGUCGCGAGGCAGUAGCAGCUGAAGGCGGGCAACAGCAGCAGGUAGAGCAGCGCGCGGUCGCUGCUUGAGCCUGUUGGGCGCGGCUGGGGCGCCGUGUACGCAAGGGUAGGGGGCGCACGGGGUCGCGUGUGGGGGCGCAGGGAGUGGCCAAGGCGCGCGAGCACGGCUACGGGCAGCCGGUCGCAGCCAGAGGGCACGGGUGAGCGCACACGCGCACAUACACAGGAGCUCGAGAAACGGCGUACCACAACGUAACGAGGCACGGAUCGAACGGGGAAAGGGGUGGAAUCGGUGGAGGAGCUCACCGUGGAGCCGUAGGCAUGCUCGGGGAGGUCGGGGACGGUUGGAGAUGAGUAGAUCGACGCGGUGGCGCGCUGGUGAUGCAGAGGAGGGGAUCGGCUCGAUCCCGACGAUGUCGCGCUGUGUUGCCCGAAUCCAUGCCCGUGGCCGAUGAAGUCGAAGCCGACGAGUCUCCUGGACACAGUGGCGCCGCACGAGGUGGCCGGUGGAUGUGGUGGUCCACGACGACGAGCUCCGAUGCGUUGUGGCAACCUCAAAUCAGAGCAGGGAGAGGAUGGGGGAGUGAAGUGGAUCUGGGAGAGGCGAGUGGGAGAGGUGGCAGGGGGGAGACCGAGGCGUCGAGGUGCUGGCGGCCUUAUCCUCCUCCCGGCGUUGCCGGCGAGGCGGUCGGGCGGGAACGGCGCC